UACGUAGGGGCGCAAGCGUUAUCCGGAAUUAUUGGGCGUAAAGAGCUCGUAGGCGGUUUGUCGCGUCUGCCGUGAAAGUCCGGGGGCUCAACUCCGGAUCUGCGGUGGGUACGGGCAGACUAGAGUGAUGUAGGGGAGACUGGAAUUCCUGGUGUAGCGGUGAAAUGCGCAGAUAUCAGGAAGAACACCCGUGGCUAAGGCGGCUCUCUAGUACGGUACUGACGCUGAGACGCGAAAGCGUGGGGAGCGAACAGG
rnacentral:rRNA from 1 species